rnacentral:rRNA from 1 species
GACGAACGCUGGCGGCGUGCCUAAUACAUGCAAGUCGAACGCAUUUUCUUUCACCGUAGCUUGCUACACCGAAAGAAAAUGAGUGGCGAACGGGUGAGUAACACGUGGGUAACCUGCCCAUCAGCGGGGGAUAACACUUGGAAACAGGUGCUAAUACCGCAUAAUUCCAUUUACUGCAUGGUAGAUGGAUGAAAGGCGCUUUUGCGUCACUGAUGGAUGGACCCGCGGUGCAUUAGCUAGUUGGUGGGGUAACGGCCUACCAAGGCUGCGAUGCAUAGCCGACCUGAGAGGGUGAUCGGCCACACUGGGACUGAGACACGGCCCAGACUCCUACGGGAGGCAGCAGUAGGGAAUCUUCGGCAUUGGACGCAAGUCUGACCGAGCAACGCCGCGUGAGUGAAGAAGGUUUUCGGAUCGUAAAACUCUGUUGUUAGAAAAGAACAAGGAUGAGAGUGGAAAGUUCAUCCCCUGACGGUAGCUAACCAGAAAGCCCCGGCUAACUACGUG